UCAUUCAGGGACCACAAAAUCUAAAGAGAAUUUUCCUUCCAACGGAAUGAUUCUCAUGAUCUCUUGACAGCUCAUGGAUUUUGCCACUCACUUCACUCUAUAAAAGGGGGAUCAAAUCGAUUGAAAGGAAGGGGAAGAAAGAUACUGUUACCCUGCUGAAAUCCCACUUCAACCCUAACCCUCAUACAUCCGCCUCCUCCGUCUCCAUUAACCCUACCUCACCUCACACCUUCAUCUUCUUCACCUAAAUCAACCCUCCACCACUGCUAACUACACACCCAUCCUUCCUUGACCCUCGAUUCGUCAUCCACUCAUCACCGAAACCCCAAUCGCGACCCUUUUUCUCUCCGAUCUACCACCACGAAACCCUCACCGAAAAUCUCCUUCCACCCCCAACAGCUACAACCGCCAGCAAACCCGACUCAUUAUAAUGCUUGAAUAAGUUUUUUUGGUACAUAACCUCCCCAUAUUUAAACCGAAUCAUCCCUGUCAACAAAUGUUGCAACUCAACCAUCACCAGUAGCUAUACAGUACAAGUUUUCAAACUUCAUAGAAUCAUCCCUGUCAACAAAUGUUGCAACUCAACCAUCACCAGUAGCUAUACAGUACAAGUUUUCAAACUUCAUCAUCACCAUCUUUGCGCUGAGUUCCGUGGCCGACGAUGCAUCAUCAUGAAGGCGGAGACGAUCAUGACAUGGACGAUGCAGGGGAAGUUAACAUAAGUGUGAAAGUUGCAAACAACGUGAUUUAUAAGUGGGUUUUGAAGCGAUCCAUUGAGUGAUUUGUGCUGCUGGGGAUGUGUAGGUACUAAAGCGAUGGAUUAGGUGAUCCAGCUUUAAAAACUCCUUGCCUCUUCUGACUGUUUGAGAAAAUCUUGUGCUAAACUUGUUUUUUUUCUUUUCUUCUUUAUGCAUUUGUUAAUAGGGAUUAACUACAUGAUUAGUAUAGUUAAGUGAGUUUUGGUAAUUGGAUUGUGUUUUGGGCCUGACCCAAUUAAUGGUUUGGGUACCAUCACCCUCCUGUGCUUUGCUUGCACCCCUCCUGCUAUUGGUUUAUUACUAAUUAUUAUUUCAUCUCCUUAUUUAAUUAGACUUAUUUUUGACUCCCGGAUUCGACAAUUUCAUGUCAAUAUACCGCUCAAUUUUCAAUACAGUAAUAUAAUAUUUGCCACAUUAGGAUUUUUGCGAAUGAUAUUAGGUAUGUUGUCAUCUCGUGAAAAUUGGUUUGAGCACAUUGUGGUUCACUUAUUUCGAU
rnacentral:lncRNA from 1 species